rnacentral:rRNA from 1 species
GACGAACGCUGGCGGCGUGCUUAACACAUGCAAGUCGAACGGAAAGGCCCUGCUUUUGUGGGGUGCUCGAGUGGCGAACGGGUGAGUAACACGUGAGUAACCUGCCCUUGACUUUGGGAUAACUUCAGGAAACUGGGGCUAAUACCGGAUAGGAGCUCCUGCUGCAUGGUGGGGGUCGGAAAGUUUCGGCGGAUGGGGAUGGACUCGCGGCUUAUCAGCUUGUUGGUGGGGUAGUGGCUUACCAAGGCUUUGAUGGGUAGCCGGCCUGGGAGGGUGGUCGGCCACAUUGGGACUAAGAUACGGCCCAGACUCGUACGGGAGGCAGCAGUGGGGAAUAUUGCACAAUGGGCGGAAGCCUGAUGCAGCAGCGCCGCGUGCGGGAUGACGGCCUUCGGGUUGUAAACCGCUUUCGCCUGUGACGAAGCGGUAGUGACGGUAAUGGGUAAAGAAGCACCGGCUAACUACGUG